GACGUAGGGGGCAAGCGUUGCCCGGAUUUACUGGGCGUAAAGCGCGUGUAGGCGGUUCGUUAAGUCGGAUGUGAAAUCUCCGGGCUCAACCCGGAAACUGCACCCGAUACUGGCGAACUUGAGGACGGUAGAGGUCGGUGGAAUUCCCGGUGUACCGGUGAAAUGGAUAGAUAUCGGGAGGAACACCAGUGGCGAAGGCGGCCGACUGGGCCGAUCCUGACGCUGAGACGCGAAAGCCAGGGGAGCGAACCGG
rnacentral:rRNA from 1 species